rnacentral:tRNA from 1 species
UACAUUUUAGUAUAUAAUGUACAAAAGUUUUUGAUACUUUAAGAGAUAGAUUAAAUCUAUUAAGUGUAA